rnacentral:misc_RNA from 1 species
GUAAUUACACAUCAUACUAUACAACCUACUACCUCUCU